GGAAGACUCGUCAAUGUAUGAUUGUUCGCGGAUGCUGUUUCGAUUCCAUCCGUUGUUAUCAAUGACAUAUUUGCAAGUCCUGAUUGCUGAUUUGCUUUCGGAAUGGCGCCGGUAAGUUUUGCUGUUCUGUUUUCAUCGUUCACUUGAGCUUCACAAACACCUUUUUGAUUCACUCCGAGCGCAUCUUCAAUAUCUUCGAACGUUAGCUGCACUUGCAGUGCUAGUGAUGCAUGAGCAUCCUUUAAAUCUGCGGGAACUUCGACAAUUUCUAGUCUGUCCCGAUAAUGUGCUAAACGCGAACGAGCCUGACGCAGAAAAUCUAGAUCGUAAUGAUCGAAAGCCGAAUCUACUAGCGGUAAUAAAUCACGAACGCAUAGCUGACACUGAUUAAUAUUAACUGCUGCAUCCAUUACGUGGGAUGAGCUGUUAUGAAUUUUGUUGCUUUUCUCCUCUUCUUGCAUGAGCGUGCGCAGCCUAAUGGCUCUUGCUCUACGAGAGAGGGAACUCAAAUUUGUUACGUGGCGUAGAGCCAAUUCGUAACUGAUCUCAUCCUCUUCUAGAUGAGUACACUGGAGGAAAACAUUAGUAAAUGCAGCUACCAAAUCUUUAGUAGUUGAAACAUUGGUAAAGUGUACGCAUUUUUUGUACAUAUUACCAAAACUUUGUAAAACGGAUGUCUUAUGCAAUACACAUCCCUACUAAAGAUUCGUACAUUUCACUUCAUAGCAUGUGUAACCUUGAUUGUUUUCAUUUCUAGGAACUGUAAUGUGCGUACUUCGCAGUCGUCGUUCCUCUUGAGGAAACAAAGCUAUUCGGAGCUUCUAACCUUGGAUUAAUAUUGCACAGUUGACUGGUGGAAAAUUCAAUGUAUAUUAGACUGAGCAUGUGCAACACAAAGAAAUCUCAGGAAACGGGAGAGCAAAUAAUGCGGAUGAAAUGUACUGCGAUCUGGUCCCAUCAACUGCCAACUAAUCAGUUGUUCCUGUCCUAAAAGAUGAAAAUGUGCAACAGGAAAAGAAGCAAAACCUUGAUGAGUGAGAGUUUGAAAAAACAUAUGAGAUUGAUUCGGUCGAGGCUGCGAUUAAAUCUGUCUAUUUGCACGAGCAAUGUUUAGAUGUAGAAUGUAGGAUGUAGGAAAUUACUGUGUAAAAGAUAAUGUAUGAUUGAAGACAGCUUUAUAAAUAAGAAUUAAUUAUCAACAACAUAAUGUCAUUAUCCCUUAUCAUUAUCUCUUACAAAUAAAAAACAACGUUUUCACUGAUGUUGUUCCAAUGGUGGGCCAACAUGCCUACCA